GUACGGGAGGCAGCAGUGGGGAAUUUUGCGCAAUGGGCGAAAGCCUGACGCAGCAACGCCGCGUGGAGGAUGAAGGCCUUCGGGUCGUAAACUCCUGUCGAUGGGGACGAAAGCUCGUAGAGCCUGACUGUACCCGUUGAGGAAGCCACGGCUAACUCCGUGCCAGCAGCCGCGGUAAUACGGAGGUGGCAAGCGUUGUUCGGAAUUACUGGGCGUAAAGGGCGCGUAGGCGGCAUGGCAAGUCAGAUGUGAAAGCCCCGGGCUUAACCCGGGAAUUGCAUCUGAUACUGCUUUGCUUGAGUCCUGGAGGGGGUAGUGGAAUUCCCAGUGUAGCGGUGAAAUGCGUAGAUAUUGGGAGGAACACCUGCGGCGAAGGCGGCUACCUGGACAGUGACUGACGCUGAGGCGCGAAAGCUAGGGGAGCGAACAGGAUUAGAUACCCGAGUAGUC
rnacentral:rRNA from 1 species